GAUGAACGCUGGCGGCGUGCCUAAUACAUGCAAGUCGAGCGAACGGACGAGAAGCUUGCUUCUCUGAUGUUAGCGGCGGACGGGUGAGUAACACGUGGAUAACCUACCUAUAAGACUGGGAUAACUUCGGGAAACCGGAGCUAAUACCGGAUAAUAUUUUGAACCGCAUGGUUCAAAAGUGAAAGACGGUCUUGCUGUCACUUAUAGAUGGAUCCGCGCUGCAUUAGCUAGUUGGUAAGGUAACGGCUUACCAAGGCAACGAUGCAUAGCCGACCUGAGAGGGUGAUCGGCCACACUGGAACGGAGACACGGUCCAGACCCCUACGGGAGGCAGCAGUAGGGAAUCUUCCGCAAUGGGCGAAAGCCUGACGGAGCAACGCCGCGUGAGUGAUGAAGGUCUUCGGAUCGUAAAACUCUGUUAUUAGGGAAGAACAUAUGUGGAAGGAACUGUGCACAUCUUGACGGUACCUAAUCAGAAAGCCACGGCUAACUACGUG
rnacentral:rRNA from 1 species